rnacentral:misc_RNA from 1 species
GCCUCUUUUCCAGGAGUCCCGCACGUUCCGAAUGGAAGUCCAUGAUGCACUUCUACCGGAAGAGCAUCCGUUUCGAUUCUCGACGGAAUCAGUGUGGACCCGUGCGGUGAAAGUGACCGCAAAGGGUCGGGAGUUCACCGUUCCCCAUCCGAUGCAUCAGCUGUGGCACGUGUGUGUCCACUUCGCCUGGGCCCACGCGAUGACGUGGGGAAGCUGGCGCACACUGCGUGAUUGCGCGGCGCUCAUCGAGUGUGGCCAAUUCGAUUGGUCGGAGUUUGUCGGCUUUGCGAAGGAAACCCGAGCGGCGACAUGCUGUUUCUGGACACUGAUGCUUGCACGGCAGGUUGCCGGAGCGGCCGUGCCUGACCACGUUCUGAAAUCAUUGCAUCCUCCGUAUU